UUAUUUUUUUUAUUAAAGGCUAUUUAUAUUAUAGAAACUAUCAUUAAUAUAUAUUCUUUAUUUACAUGAUCUGUCCCAUAGUCAUGCAUUGUUUUGCACCCCAAAUUUUUUAUUGUCCGUAGCAGCAUGGUCAGCUUUUCUCUCGGUCCGUGGGUGAGGCUCAGGCACUAUCCCAUUUAUACCAAUGACUAAUGUAUCACUACAUAAGGAAAACUGAUUGAAGUUCAUCCUCUUUCCUUUUAUUUCUGUUUUCAUAUGAAUCCCCCAUUUUCCACCUUCUUUUGUAGUUGAUAAUGCCUCAAUCAUGAAACUAGUUACCAAAAUUAAAACAGUAUAGCAUAUCUUCCUGAUUGCUCCAGCCCCUCUACCGAGGUAUGCUCAUGAAUAAUACUUUAUAAUAUGGGGGAAUAGAAACCAUGAACUUUUUACCUUUUUAGGCUAUUUAUGCAAUAUCUCAAUAAUAAAAGUAGGACCUUAAACCAUUUUAAGAUCAUGUCCCAUUUCCAAGCGGUUAGGGCUCACUCUCCAACUUUGUUAAAUUGCAUUUGAGUACAUGAUACAUUCUUAAACACUUUGGAAAACAUUAACCCAAGAUGUAGGGGCUAAUGCUAGUCAUCAUUCUAGAAUCUGUUAUUUUACUCAGUAUUUGAAAUGAAUGAUUAAUGCCCUAGGAAAUAGCUUUAGCAAACGUCCAGGUGCCACACCAGAAAAAGUGCAAUAAUUUACUGACAGUUUUCUAGAUUAGGUGUAUUAUUGGAAUACAACUUUAUAAAAAGUGCACAUUAUACACUCUAGUAAAACAGCACCACUUAAACGAUAUUCACUUAUGAAAUCAGUUACCUAUAAUAGAAGUCUUGAAUAGUGAACAAGGGACUCUAAUAGAAAUACUCUUAAUAUUUGGCUGUUUUAGAACCCUUAAAGGGCCUAAUUACUGGAGAUUUAGGUACUCCACUAAAGCAUGUACAUAAUAUUGCCAACAAGAAAAAUAAAUUUGAAGAUUAGGGGAACUUAACUCCUGUAAACUGUCUUGGAAUAGUUAAGAAGAAUUUAAACUCCCAUUUUAAGCAGGAAGCCAAAUAGAUUCUUUUGCAGAUAGAGAUUUCAUAACUUAUUAAAACUUCUUUAACAUUUUGUGCCUUUUACAUAUAUUCAGUUAACACAUGCUAACAUCCCAGUCUCUUCUAUGUCAGGGAUUAACCACAGGAAAAUUCAGUGAAAUAGUACAAAUCUGAAACUCUGAUGAUAGAAACUGGAGAUUUAACAGAGAACCACGUUUUACCCGAGUGCCAAAAAAGCUUUGAGCUUCCUUGCACAAAAUGUAUAUAAUUUGUGCAUUUCUCACAUGAGCCCAGAUAGUCCCCUUCCCCUGGGACCUCUCCACCAUUAAAACACAAGCCACACAGCUUAUUUCAUCAUUACAUUUAUUUUCAAUAGUUAUUACAACCAAGUUAAUUCUGUUUGAAGACGUGUAGACAAAUUUUACUAAGAAUAGAAUUAAGAUUCUAUAGAUUAAGUGAUUUUGCUAAAAGCAAAGUAAACUUUACACAAAUCCAAGUGGAGUUUAAGCAGACAACAUUAAAAAGAAGAAAAAAGGGUCAGGUAGUGCUCAGAAAGCAAAGAACCAAAAACUGAAUUGAAUACUCCAUAGGGUGACUAGGAUGUCAAGUCAGUGGUAAGCCGUUUCCAGGUACUGCAGUGUCUGGUCACCCCCCUCACCCUACCCCGUGGAUUGGUCGGCUCCUGUGGCCGACCAUCCUUGUCACUGAAUGUGGUAUAACUGACUGUUGACUCAACAGUCUCAUUUGGUCACUUGAAAAAUACUUCCUUCAAUGACUUUUGGAGGGAAAAAAAAAAGCAGGUUUAAAGAACCUAAAGAAAAUAAAACUUAAUUUUAAACAAGUUCUAGUAAGAUAUAAUCUGAAAAUCAUGUUUUAACUUUUUAUCAUAUUCUCAGCUAUACAGAAUCAUUUAUUUUGAAGAUUUUUAGACUGCUGUUAAUUUGAAAUCUGUUAAUCAUAUUGUAGAAUUUGGUUUUUAAAAAAGAUGUUUCUAAUUGGAUUUUUUAAAGAAGAAUGGAAUUUGGUCACUAUUUUCUGAUAGAACCUAAGCUUUUUGUGGUUCUUAGUGUCCUCUGUAAAACUCAGUGUCAAAAGUAAUCAACUCUGAGGUUUUCCCUUCUAAUCUGCUUUAUAUUACAAGCCCUUUAGGAAAUGGGAACCUGGUGAAUAUACAAUGAAUUGUAAAAUAUUUUAAUGUGUAAUUUUUUCAACUGUGAAACUAUGACUAUUGGUUUUUUGAUGAAAACAGCUGCUGAUAAAGUAUUUUGUGUAAAGUGUAGUUCUUAUUAAUCAGGAAAAUAAUCAAUGACUUGAUUAGAAUGUAUAUACCCUCUUGGAUUUUAUUUUGAAUGGAUUGGUGAUUUUCACAUAGGUAAAAUACAGUCCAUCCUGUAUUCUUUUUCCAUCAAAAAUUGAGUGAUCUAGCAUCAUAAAAAAUUAUAAACAGCCUAUCUAUUUUAAAAGAAUCGUGGAAAUUUCACAACACAUAAACUUGGAUUUGUUUCUUAAUGAUUUUGUAAAUCCACUUAAUUCAUAUUCUGACCAAUAGCCCAUGCUUGCCAACUCUUUGAAAAAAAAUUGAUUUCCAGCAUUAUUUUAAAGUCAGCAGGUUAACCUUUUCCGAAUGUUUUGACUUCCUUUUGUUUCUAUGUCUACAUAAACUGCAGACCUGGGCUGGACCCACGUACUCAGAAUCCACCUUAGAAAUCGACUUUGAUGUCCAAGACAUCACUAAAAUGUUUCAGGUUAAAGACCCUAUGCGGUGUUAAUGGACUGUGGUGCUUCUACUAUCUAAAAACAACUUUCAUACUUCAGAUGUUUUUGAGAAGAGGAGAAUGUGCAAGGAGGGGGCAGAACAGGGGGAGUCUGAAUGAAUUACAUUCUUCAUGCCCAUCCUGCUCAGAUGGGGCGCCUCUAAGGGAAGCCUUAGAUGGGGCCUUUGAAAGACAAAGCAGAAAGCUGUAAGCAAGGAGGAAGAAAAUUUUCGUUGUUUUAUGUUCUCUCAAAAUAUCUUUAAUAAGACUAAACUCCUUAAGUUGAGUAUGAAUUUCCAAAUGUAGUCCUGAUCUAUCAAUUUCAUAAGUAAAAGCCCUUUAUCACAUUUAUGUUCCAAAGAGUGGUUGGAGAGCUUGGCCUUCAUGUGGUUUCUAGAAAUGCUUUUGGCUCUGGAACCUAAGUUUCAAAUACAACUAAUAGUUUCGAUGUGA